UACGAAGGGGGCUAGCGUUGCUCGGAAUGACUGGGCGUAAAGGGCGCGUAGGCGGCUCAUACAGUCAGAUGUGAAAUUCCUGGGCUUAACCUGGGGGCUGCAUUUGAUACGUGUGGGCUUGAGUGGGGAAGAGGGUCGUGGAAUUCCCAGUGUAGCGGUGAAAUGCGCAGAUAUCAGGAGGAACACCGGUGGCGAAGGCGGGUCUCUGGGCCGAUACUGACGCUGAGGAGCGAAAGCGUGGGGAGCGAACAGG
rnacentral:rRNA from 1 species